GAAAGUAAAAAAGGGCGCAUGGCGGAUGCCUUGGCUCUCGGAGGCGAUGAAGGACGUGAUAAGCUGCGAUAAGCUUUGGGGAGGUGCAAAUGACCUUUGAUCCAGAGAUUUCCGAAUGGGACAACCCAAUAUCUUGAAGAGGUAUUAUCUUACUAUGUAAGAGGCUAACGCAGGGAACUGAAACAUCUUAGUACCUGCAGGAAAAGAAAAUAAACAAUGAUUCCCCCAGUAGUGGCGAGCGAACGGGGAACAGCCCAAACCAUCCAUGUUACGGCAUGGGUGGGGUUGUAGGACUACGCCGUUGCAUGAAGACAUCAGAGAAGAACUUUCUGGAAAGAAAGACCAUAGAGCAUGACAGUUGCGUAUUCGAAUGUUGUCGAAGCAUAGUAGUAUCCUGAGUAGCGCGGAGCACGAGGAAUUCUGCGUGAAUCUGCCGGGACCAUCCGGUAAGGCUAAAUACUCCCGAGAGACCGAUAGCGAACCAGUACCGUGAGGGAAAGGUGAAAAGCACUUCGAACAGAAGAGUGAAAUAGUUCCUGAAACCGUGCGCCUACAAGCGGUCGGAGCUCGUUAAUGAGUGACGGCGUGCCUUUUGCAUAAUGAACCUACGAGUUGCCUUUGCCGGCAAGGUUAAGUGUGACGACACACGUAUCCGAAGCGAAAGCGAGUCUGAAGAGGGCGUAUAGUCGGCAGUGGCAGACGCGAAACCAAGUGAUCUACCCUUGGCCAGGUUGAAGGCUGGGUAACACCAGCUGGAGGACCGCACCAAUAAGCGUUGAAAAGCUUCUGGAUGAGCUGAGGGUAGGGGUGAAAGGCUAAUCAAACUUGGAGAUAGCUCGUACUCCCCGAAAUGCAUUUAGGUGCAGCCUUGCGGGUUACUGAUGUGAGGUAGAGCGACUGAUAAGAUGCGAGGGCUUCACCGCCUAUCAAGUCUUGAUAAACUCCGAAUGCGCAGUAGUUCGAUCCCAGGAGUGAGGGCAUGGGUGCUAAGGUCCAUGUCCUAAAGGAGAAGAAUCCGGACCAUCAGCUAAGGUCCCGAAAUAAUUGCUAAGUUGAACUAACGAAGUCAGAUUGCUAAGACAGCUAGGAUGUUGGCUUGGAAGCAGCCAUUCAUUUAAAGAGUGCGUAACAGCUCACUAGUCGAGGAGUUUGGCGUGGAUAAUAAUCGGGCAUUAAGCAAUUUACCGAAGCUAUGGGAUCAGUAAUGAUCGGUAGGGGAGCAUUCCACUCUGCGUCGAAGGUGAAGCGUGAGCUUUGCUGGAGCGUGUGGAAAAGCAAAUGUAGGUAUAAGUAACGAUAAAGGGGGCGGGAACCCCCCUCGCCGAAAGACUAAGGUUUCCUGAUCAACGCUAAUCGGAUCAGGGUCAGUCGGGUCCUAAGGCUCAGCCGAACGGCGAUGCCGAUGGCAGAAACGGUUAAUAUUCCGUUACUACCUUCAGGAGUGACGUGGAGACGCAGUAGUGACAGUGCCGCCAUCUGACGGAAUAGAUGGUUGAAGGGUGUAGGAGUCGAUCAUGGCAGGCAAAUCCACCAUGAGAUCCGAACCUGACAGUAUGCCGCGUCCUUCGGGACAAGGCAAUAGUGCGCGUAAGCAUGCUGCCGAGAAAAUCCGCUAAACUUAAUCCUGGAGGUACCCGUACCGCAAACGGACACACGUAGUCGGGAUGAAUAUUCUAAGGCGCUUGAGUGAUUCACGGUUAAGGAACUAGGCAAACUGACCCUGUAACUUCGGGAUAAAGGGUCCCUACCCUUUUAUGGGAGGGCGCAGAGAAUCGGUCCAGGCAACUGUUUAACAAAAACACAGGGCUGUGCCAAAUCGAAAGAUCCAGUAUACAGCCUGACACCUGCCCGGUGCUGGAAGGUUAAGAGGAGAUGUCAUCGAUAAGAGAAGCGUUGAAUUGAAGCCCCAGUAAACGGCGGCCGUAACUAUAACGGUCCUAAGGUAGCGAAAUUCCUUGUC
rnacentral:rRNA from 1 species